ensembl:lncRNA
CUUGCUGGGCGUGCACAUGCUCCAGUGCCCUCCACCUGAGGCACUGCAGUGGGGCCUCUCUCGGCAGCAGGCCCGGGCCCAGGGUUGGAGGUUGAGUAACCAGCGGGCCAGUUACUCAGUCACUUGGGUGACUCGCCAGUCAUUUGUGUGACUCACCCCAUGGGUGGACCCCAGGCCCUACUCAGUGGGGAGAGGGAGACGCCCCAGACCACUUCUUUGUUCCCCUCUCUGGAUAGAGGCUGGGUCUGGGGGCCUGGCCCCAGCCAGUGGAUGGGGAAACUUCAGGGGACACCAGGCUCUUCACCAGAGGGGCCCAGAGUGACCCUUGACCACCCAGUACCUGGGUGCCUUGUGGGGCUGACCCAGGACUUGUGAGUGGAGGGCUGUUCUGGGCUGCUGUGUCCUUAGCUUCAGGCUCCUCAAAGGUCAUCCCUGCAGAAAGGCAUGAGCUACGUGGAGGCCAGCUCCUCCACCCACAGGGCCUGCUGGGCUCAGGGAAGGGCACCCCUCCACCAUCCCUCCCUCGUCUGGGCCCCCCAGCUCCAGACCCUGUGGGUUCUUGCUAAGCCCUUCUGCCCUGGGGCCAGGAGGUCAGAGGCCAGAGAGGACAGUGGCGCUGGAAACUGCUAAGUCCACAGGGCAGGAAGCACCUGCGAGGCUGCUGCGUCUUUCUCCCAGGACUGGACUCUGCGGACAGGUCUCGGGUGGCUGCACCUGCUGCACGGGCUCUUGUAAGGACCUAGUGGCCUCGCUCCGUCCUGGGUAAUGGAGAACCAGGGUGCUCCAGUCCUGAGCAGCCACAGACUGCGAGAAAGAAAUGUCACCACCAGUGAGGAGUGGCUUCCGAGCAGGGAGAAGGCAAGGCCAAGCAGAGGUGGGCUCCAAGGUCGGUGCAGUGACCUCUGCAGGAGAGGCUUGGCUUGGCUGUGGCUCUCCAGCCCCGCCAGCUGAGGACUAACGAGACUGCCCACGGGCUGGCGUUUCUGUGAAUAGUGUUGUGGGAGGAUGUGCCCUGUCUUGGCAUGCUGGUGG